UUCCGGUUGAUCCUGCCGGACCUAACUGCUAUCGGAUUGAUACUAAGCCAUGCGAGUCAUUGUAGCAAUACAAGGCAGACGGCUCAGUAACGCGUAGUCAACCUACCCUAUGGACGGGGAUAACCUCGGGAAACUGAGAAUAAUACCCGAUAGAACAUUAUACCUGGAAUGGUUUAUGUUUCAAAUAAUUUAUUGCCGUAGGAUGGGACUGCGGCCUAUCAGUUUGUUGGUGAGGUAAUGGCCCACCAAGACUAUUACAGAUACGGGCUCUGAGAGGAGUAGCCCGGAGAUGGGUACUGAGACACGGACCCAGGCCCUAUGGGGCGCAGCGGGCGAGAAAACUUUGCAAUGUGCGAAAGCACGACAAGGUUAAUCCGAGUGGUUUCUGCUAAAGGAACCUUUUGCCAGUCCUAGAAACACUAGUGAAUAAGGGGUGGGCAAGUUCUGGUGUCAGCCGCCGCGGUAAAACCAGCACCUCAAGUGGUCAGGAUGAUUAUUGGGCCUAAAGCAUCCGUAGCCUGCUUUGCCAGUUUUCGGUUAAAUCCAUACGCUUAACGUAUGGGCUGCCGGAAAUACUACAAAGCUAGGGAGUGGGAGAGGUAGACGGUACUCGGGAGGAAGUGGUAAAAUGCUUUGAUCUCUCGAUGACCACCUGUGGCGAAGGCGGUCUACCAGAACACGUCCGACGGUGAGGGAUGAAAGCUGGGGGAGCAAACCGGAUUAGAUACCCGGGUAGUCCCAGCUGUAAACUAUGCAAACUCGGUGAUGCAUUGGCUUGAUGCCAAUGCAGUGCCGCAGGGAAGCCGUUAAGUUUGCCGCCUGGGAAGUACGUACGCAAGUAUGAACUUGAAGGAAUUGGCGGGGGAGCUACACACGGGGUGAAGCUGCUGAUUCACUGACUCAACGCGGA
rnacentral:rRNA from 1 species